UACGGAGGGGGCUAGCGUUGUUCGGAUUUACUGGGCGUAAAGGGCGCGUAGGCGGCUUAACAAGUCACUUGUGAAAUCUCCGGGCUUAACUCGGAACGGCCAAGUGAAACUGUCAAGCUAGAGUGCAGAAGGGGCAAUCGGAAUUCUUGGUGUAGCGGUGAAAUGCGUAGAUAUCAAGAGGAACACCUGAGGUGAAGACGGGUUGCUGGGCUGACACUGACGCUGAGGCGCGAAAGCCAGGGGAGCAAACGGG
rnacentral:rRNA from 1 species